AUCGAACGCUGGCGGCAGGCCUAACACAUGCAAGUCGAACGAGUGGCGGACGGGUGAGUAAUGUCUGGGAAACUGCCUGAUGGAGGGGGAUAACUACUGGAAACGGUAGCUAAUACCGCAUACCAUCAGAUGUGCCCAGAUGGGAUUAGCUAGUUGGUGGGGUAACGGCCCACCAAGGCGACGAUCCCUAGCUGGUCUGAGAGGAUGACCGGCCACAAUGGAACUGAGACAAGGUCCAGACUCCUACGGCAGUCAGCAGUGGGGAAGAUUGGACAAUGGGCGCAAGCCUGAUGCAGCCAGGCCGGGUGUAUGAAGAAGGCCUUCGGGUUGUAAAGUACUUUCAUCGGGGAGGCGGUACCCGCAGAAGAAGCACCGGCUAACUCCGUGCCAGCGGCCGCGGUAAUAC
rnacentral:rRNA from 1 species